AGGGACAUAGCUCAGUGGUAGAGCACUUUAUUGGCAUACACAAGGCCUUGGGUUCNGGCACACAGAGGCUUAUUUCCAACACCUUCAGCCUCCAGGAAACCUUGGAAAGAGUCCCAGUGUCCCUU
rnacentral:tRNA from 1 species